GCUUAAUAUGAUUUAUCCUCUGCAGUGAGAGAGCAAAGGAUCUAUAUCAAAUCCUGAAUUAACUUGGGAUUUUUCAGGAAAAUGUAAUGUUAUGGACUACUAAAGCUGGUGAGCGCAAGAAGCAGGUACAAGCAUGCUAUAAAGCCACAAGAGAACACAUCUUGAAGGAGGAGUUCAGAGUGCUGAGGCACCUGAGAGGAAUGCUACCAGCAUCAGCUCUCCCUGGGACAAAUUCCACUUAAAG
rnacentral:lncRNA from 1 species